GACUAUACACUGAUAAUAAUUAGAUAUAGUUAUUUGAGUUUACGCUAAUCCUUAUUUAUGCUUCUUUGAUAGUCCUUUAGUGAAGAAGAUUCAUUUAAAAAAUGUUCAUCUGAAGUUGAAGCUAAAAAUAAGAUUGAAGAACUACUUGCUAGUCUUUUAAACAGAGUAUGCCAAGAUGGAAGGAAGCCUCAUACAGUGAGAUUAAUAAUCCGUCGGUAUUCCUCUGAGAAGCACUAUGGUCGUGAGAGUCGUCAGUGCCCUAUUCCUUCACAUGUAAUUCAGAAGUUAGGGACAGGUAUGGACUAGUUUUCCAACAGUUUCAUUAGCAGGUUGAACUUUUAAAUAAGCCAACUUUGAAUGAGAAAUAUGCUCCAAAAAUGGAGGGUCUUCACUGGGAAUUAGCAAGCAAUUAAAUGCUUUUAUUCUAUCAUGAAUUUUCACUGGAAAACUUUGUUGUUUGUUUGUUUAUUUAUUUAUUUAUUUAUUUAUUUUUUGAGACAGGGUCUUGCUCUGCACCAAGGCUGAAGUGCAGUGGUGCUGUGAUAGCUCACUGCAGCCUUUGUCUCCCAGGCUCAAACAAUUCUUCUGCCCCAGCCUCCCGAGU
rnacentral:sRNA from 1 species